GAUGAACGCUGGCGGCGUGCCUAAUACAUGCCAGUCGAGCGAACGGACGAGAAGCUUGCUUUUCUGAUGUUAGCGGCGGACGGGUGAGUAACACGUGGAUAACCUACCUAUAAGACUGGGAUAACUUCGGGAAACCGGAGCUAAUACCGGAUAAUAUUUUGAACCGCAUGGUUCAAAAGUGAAAGACGGUCUUGCUGUCACUUAUAGAUGGAUCCGCCCUGCAUUAUCUAGUUGGUAAGGUAACGGCUUACCAAGGCAACGAUGCAUAGCCGACCUGAGAGGGUGAUCGGCCACACUGGAACUGAGACACGGUCCAGACUCCUACGGGAGGCAGCAGUAGGGAAUCUUCCGCAAUGGGCGAAAGCCUGACGGAGCAACGCCGCGUGAGUGAUGAAGGUCUUCGGAUCGUAAAACUCUGUUAUUAGGGAAGAACAUAUGUGUAAGUAACUGUGCACAUCUUGACGGUACCUAAUCAGAAAGCCACGGCUAACUACGUG
rnacentral:rRNA from 1 species